ACUCAAAUGAAUUGACGGGGACUUGCACAAGCGGUGGAACAUGUGGUUCAAUUCGAUGGUAAACGAAAAACCUUACCAGGGUUAGACAUUCAGCUGAAUACUUUAGGAAACUUUAGUAGUCUCACAAGGACAGUUGAACAGGUGCUGCAUGGCCGUCGUCAGUUCGUGGCUUGAGUUGUUCCCUUAAGUGGGGUAACGAACGCAACCCUCAUUGCCUGUUAUAUAUGUCAGGCGAGACUGCCCAGCCCAUAGCGCGGAAAAAUUUUCUGCAUUACGGGCUGGGAGGAAGGUGAGGAUGACGCCAGGUCAGCAUGGCCCUCUGAUACCCUGGGCCACACACGUGUUACAAUGGUUAUUACAACGCGAUGCGACGGAGCAAUCCUGAGCCAAUCGUAAUAAAAAUAGCCCCAGUUCGGAUUGGAGUCUGCAACUCGACUCCAUGAAGUUGGAAUCGCUAGUAAUCGCGGGUCAGCACACCGCGGUGAAUACGUUCUCAAGUCUUGUACACACCGCCCGU
rnacentral:rRNA from 1 species